AGCGAACGCUGGCGGCAGGCUUAACACAUGCAAGUCGAGCGGGCAUACCAUUAUGUCAGCGUCAGACGGGUGAGUAACGCGUGGGAACGUAGCUUUUCGUUCGGAUCAACUUUGGGAUACUGCAGAUAGUACCGGAUAAGACCCUAAGAGGAAAGAGUUGUCGCGGGAAGAUCGGCCCGCGUUUGGUUAGCUAGUUGAUGAGGUAAUGGCUCACCAAGUUGACGAUCAGUAGCUGUUCUGAGAGGAUGAUCAGCCACAUUGGGAGUGAGACACGGCCCAAACUCCUAGGGGAGGGGGCAGAGGGGAAUAUUGGACAAAGGGCGCAAGUCUGAACCGGCCACGGGGUGUGAAUGACGAAGGCCGUAGAGUUGUAAAGCUCGUUUGAUCCGGAAGAUAAUGACGGUACCCCAAGAAUAAGCCCCGGCUAACUUCGUG
rnacentral:rRNA from 1 species